AAAAAAUUAGGUAUCAUGAAUCAUGAGACAGUUGACAAUGACAUGGAUAGCCUGAACGAGAGACUGGAACUUAGAGGCAGCACCCGACACGCAGGUAUAAAACUUGGUACAUUUGUUUUGUCGAUAUUUCGAGACGUUUUUGUAACAAAGCAUGUCUUAUUCAGGUGGAGAUUGCUGGAGGAUAGUGUACUGAUGUGUGAUGAGGACUUCGCUGUAACUUUGACGAUAGGACAAACUCGAGUUGGUAAUCGGAGAUAAACCCCAGGAGAUCACAUAGGAACCGUGUGCUAAACGGAGCAUAGGGAGUUUAUAGUUGCAGAAACCUUCUUCAGUAUUAGCAGCGUAACUUCUAGGAUUUGGUAGGCGAGAGUUUUAAGACGGACCGGCCGCUAUAAAAUAGAUGGUAAAACUGGAGAGGUAGCCGAUUUACACGGGGAGCAGGAGUAAGAAGAAUACGAUCUAAAGAGGACUCUGAAGGACGAGAAGGCCUCGACAUCGCGUACGACUCUGUACGACUGAGGCAGGAUAAAGACUUUUGGACGUAUAGACAGGACUUUGAAUAUUGUUUUGAAAUAAUGGGUAUUAAAAUUAUGAUACAGACUAGAGAUUAAGUUUUGGGAUAAAGUUUUGAACGAAUAAUCUUGUGCUUAUGAGUUUUCAAGAAUCCGAUUUAGCAGAAGUUUAGAUCAUGAAAUGUUAAAUUAUCAUUACUAGAGAAAUUGUGUAAUACUGUUGUUAUGUUUUGAGUAUUAAAUGUUU